rnacentral:rRNA from 1 species
AAACUGAAGAGUUUGAUCAUGGCUCAGAUUGAACGCUGGCGGCAGGCCUAACACAUGCAAGUCGAGCGAGAAAGCACUUCGGUGCGAGUACAGCGGCGGACGGGUGAGUAACGCGUAGGAAUCUACCUAGUAGUGGGGGACAACAUGUGGAAACGCAUGCUAAUACCGCAUACGCCCUAAGGGGGAAAGCAGGGGAUCUUCGGACCUUGCGCUAUUGGAUGAGCCUGCGUCAGAUUAGCUAGUUGG